rnacentral:rRNA from 1 species
UACGUAGGGGGCAAGCGUUGUCCGGAAUCAUUGGGCGUAAAGAGCGUGUAGGCGGCUUUGCAAGUCGGGUGUGAAAGCCCUCAGCUUAACUGAGGAAGUGCGCCCGAAACUGCUUAGCUUGAGUGCCGGAGAGGAUGGCGGAAUUCCCCAAGUAGAGGUGAAAUUCGUAGAUAUGGGGAGGAACACCGGUGGCGAAGGCGGCCAUCUGGACGGUAACUGACGCUGAGACGCGAAAGCGUGGGUAGCAAACAGG